rnacentral:sRNA from 12 species
AGACCACAUAUUAUAUGUUAAGCCUUGCGGACGGGCGGGUCGGUUGCCGA